GGGGGGAGCCGUAGCGCCCCUCUACGUCGGUCCGGCUGGUGCACUCAUGGUGCAGUAGGUGUUCCAGGAGUUUCCAUGGCAUACUGAAGACAGCGGUAGGAUAAACUGCCCCCCUCCCCUCCAAGACACCCUUGGCCCAACGAUUGGUCAUACUUUUCUUCUGCAACUUGGCAAAGCAGUGGUCACACACUCUGGCCGGCCGGUUCUUCAGGUACUCCAGGUAGUGCUUGUUGGAGGAGCACGUUUGGCAGACCACCUGCGGGAGACCGUGGGAAGCUUAACACUCAAAGCUAACCAGGAUUCGCCAGGCCAAGUGCAUUCUGGGAAGGUUUUUGGGGUAAUACAAGAAGAUGAACUUCUGUAAUCCUGACAUGAAACCCAAUAAAACUACUUGUAAGGUUAA